rnacentral:misc_RNA from 1 species
AAAAGCUGUAUUAUUGAAAACAGUGAAGAACAAAAUUGAAGUACUAGCACCAGCCGGAUUACUAUCACAAGAAGUGUUACCAAAUAAAACAGCUUUGAUUCGAAGGAAAAAUUUGGAUGAGUUGUUAAAACUAGAUAUUCUUAUAUGCUGUGUUGUUGCAAAACAUCAUUGGACGCUUACAAUAAUCAAACCAAAGGAAAAGAGCUUUUAUUACAUCAAUCCUCUAGGCGAAAUCUUAUCUUCAAUAAAAAAAGAAGAAAUAAAAUGGAAUAACUAUUUGAAACAAAGGUAUGGAAUUUCAGAAACAUAUAAAAUAAUGACAUUGCCACAUGCACUGCAAAGAGACAGCAUAUCGUGUGGAGUCUUUUGUCUUAAAGUAAUGUGAAAUACUUUUUAUUUUUUUACAAUUUUUAUAAAAGAUAUAUAGUUCCAUUAUUUUUUAUUCAUCAUAAAGAUAGCAGCAAAUAUCUUCAAAGUCUAAUCAAAAGCUGCAUCAGUUAUUUUUUAUAAUGAAUCUGGAUAGUGAUGCAAUAAUAAGACUAAACCCAAAUAAUAUUGAUGCCAAUGAGCAGUACUCAUUAACGGUAUACCAAUUGAGCUAUCCAGUAACUAAAUAAAUACAGCUCUAUUACCAUAUAUGCCUACCAGCAAAUUUUUAAUUCGAGUGUUCAUUGUUUAGAGGCAACUUCAGACUCUUGUUAUCUCCUCCUCCUCCCCCUCCCUAUCAUCCACUUUGAAAAAUUAUCACAAAUUUUUUAGGUAGCUCAACCUAAGCCGAGUUUAAUAAAACAUUUGUUAUAGUUAAGAGUUCUAAAUUAAAAUUUUUUAGUUUGCUGAA